rnacentral:rRNA from 1 species
GAUGAACGCUGGCGGCGUGCCUAAUACAUGCAAGUCGAGCGAACGGACGAGAAGCUUGCUUCUCUGAUGUUAGCGGCGGACGGGUGAGUAACACGUGGAUAACCUACCUAUAAGACUGGGAUAACUUCGGGAAACCGGAGCUAAUACCGGAUAAUAUUUUGAACCGCAUGGUUCAAAAGUGAAAGACGGUCUUGCUGUCACUUAUAGAUGGAUCCGCGCUGCAUUAGCUAGUUGGUAAGGUAACGGCUUACCAAGGCAACGAUGCAUAGCCGACCUGAGAGGGUGAUCGGCCACACUGGAACUGAGACACGGUCCAGACUCCUACGGGAGGCAGCAGUAGGGAAUCUUCCGCAAUGGGCGAAAGCCUGACGGAGCAACGCCGCGUGAGUGAUGAAGGUCUUCGGAUCGUAAAACUCUGUUAUUAGGGAAGAACAUAUGUGUAAGUAACUGUGCACAUCUUGACGGUACCUAAUCAGAAAGCCACGGCUAACUACGUGCCAGCAGCCGCGGUAAUACGUAGGUGGCAAGCGUUAUCCGGAAUUAUUGGGCGUAAAGCGCGCGUAGGCGGUUUUUUUAAGUCUGAUGUGAAAGCCCACGGCUCAACCGUGGAGGGUCAUUGGAAACUGGAAAACUUGAGUGCAGAAGAGGAAAGUGGAAUUCCAUGUGUAGCGGUGAAAUGCGCAGAGAUAUGGAGGAACACCAGUGGCGAAGGCGACUUUCUGGUCUGUAACUGACGCUGAUGUGCGAAAGCGUGGGGAUCAAACAGGAUUAGAUACCCUGGUAGUCCACGCCGUAAACGAUGAGUGCUAAGUGUUAGGGGGUUUCCGCCCCUUAGUGCUGCAGCUAACGCAUUAAGCACUCCGCCUGGGGAGUACGACCGCAAGGUUGAAACUCAAAGGAAUUGACGGGGACCCGCACAAGCGGUGGAGCAUGUGGUUUAAUUCGAAGCAACGCGAAGAACCUUACCAAAUCUUGACAUCCUUUGACAACUCUAGAGAUAGAGCCUUCCCCUUCGGGGGACAAAGUGACAGGUGGUGCAUGGUUGUCGUCAGCUCGUGUCGUGAGAUGUUGGGUUAAGUCCCGCAACGAGCGCAACCCUUAAGCUUAGUUGCCAUCAUUAAGUUGGGCACUCUAAGUUGACUGCCGGUGACAAACCGGAGGAAGGUGGGGAUGACGUCAAAUCAUCAUGCCCCUUAUGAUUUGGGCUACACACGUGCUACAAUGGACAAUACAAGGGGCAGCGAAACCGCGAGGUCAAGCAAAUCCCAUAAAGUUGUUCUCAGUUCGGAUUGUAGUCUGCAACUCGACUACAUGAAGCUGGAAUCGCUAGUAAUCGUAGAUCAGCAUGCUACGGUGAAUACGUUCCCGGGUCU